ensembl:snRNA
GUGUUGUAUGAAAGGAGAGAAGUUUAGCACUCCCCUUGACAAGAAUGGUAGAGGCCGUCAGGCCUGACAAUACACAUACAGUUAAGGCAUUGCCACCUACUUUGUGGCAUCUAACCAUUUUUU